UACGUAGGGGGCAAGCGUUGUCCGGAUUUAUUGGGCGUAAAGAGCGUGUAGGCGGCUUGGAAGGUCAGCUGUGAAAACUCGAGGCUCAACCUCGAGACGUCGGUUGAAACCACCUGGCUAGAGUCCGGAAGAGGAGAGUGGAAUUCCCGGUGUAGCGGUGAAAUGACGCAGAUAUCGGGAAGAACACCCGUGGCGAAGGCGGCUCUC
rnacentral:rRNA from 1 species